GAUGAACGCUGGCGGCGUGCCUAAUACAUGCAAGUCGAGCGAACGGACGAGAAGCUUGCUUCUCUGAUGUUAGCGGCGGACGGGUGAGUAACACGUGGAUAACCUACCUAUAAGACUGGGAUAACUUCGGGAAACCGGAGCUAAUACCGGAUGAUAUUUUGAACCGCAUGGUUCAAAAGUGAAAGACGGUCUUGCUGUCACUUAUAGAUGGAUCCGCGCUGCAUUAGCUAGUUGGUAAGGUAACGGCUUACCAAGGCAACGAUGCAUAGCCGACCUGAGAGGGUGAUCGGCCACACUGGAACUGAGACACGGUCCAGACUCCUACGGGAGGCAGCAGUAGGGAAUCUUCCGCAAUGGGCGAAAGCCUGACGGAGCAACGCCGCGCGAGUGAUGAAGGUCUUCGGAUCGUAAAACUCUGUUAUUAGGGAAGAACAUAUGUGUAAGUAACUGUGCACAUCUUGACGGUACCUAAUCAGAAAGCCACGGCUAACUACGU
rnacentral:rRNA from 1 species